GACGAACGCUGGCGGCGUGCUUAACACAUGCAAGUCGAACGGAAAGGCCCUGCGUUUGUGGGGUGCUCGAGUGGCGAACGGGGGAGUAACACGUGAGUAACCUGCCCUUGACUUUGGGAUAAAUUCAGGAAACUGGGGCUAAUACCGGAUAGGAGCUCCUGCUGCAUGGUGGGGGUUGGAAAGAUUCGGCGGUUGGGGAUGGACUCGCGGCUUAUCAGCUUGUUGGUGGGGUAGUGGCGUCCCAAGGCUUUGACGGGGAGCCGGCCUGAGAGGGUGACCGGCCUCCAUGGGCCUGAGAUACGCCCCAGUCUGCUACGGGCGGCAGCGGUCGGGAAUCUUGCACAGUGGCCGGACGCCUGAUGUAACAGCCCCGCGUGCGUGAUGACGUCCUUCUGGUUGUAAACCGCUUUCGCCUGUGCCGAAGCGUGCUUGACGGUAAUGGGUCAGGAAGCACCGGCUAACUACGUG
rnacentral:rRNA from 1 species